rnacentral:rRNA from 1 species
GAUGAACGCUGGCGGCGUGCCUAAUACAUGCAAGUCGAGCGAACGGACGAGAAGCUUGCUUCUCUGAUGUUAGCGGCGGACGGGUGAGUAACACGUGGAUAACCUACCUAUAAGACUGGGAUAACUUCGGGAAACCGGAGCUAAUACCGGAUAAUAUUUUGAACCGCAUGGUUCAAAAGUGAAAGACGGUCUUGCUGUCACUUAUAGAUGGAUCCGCGCUGCAUUAGCUAGUUGGUAAGGUAACGGCUUACCAAGGCAACGAUGCAUAGCCGACCUGAGAGGGUGAUCGGCCACACUGGAACUGGAACACGGUCCAGACUACUACGGGAGGCAGCAGUAGGGAAUCUUCCGCAAUAGGCGAAAGCCUGACGGAGCAACGCCGCGUGAGUGAUGAAGGUCUUCGGAUCGUAAAACUCUGUUAUUAGGGAAGAACAUAUGUGUAAGUAACUGUGCACAUCUUGACGGUACCUAAUCAGAAAGCCACGGCUAACUACGUG